GUUCUGGCUUCCUCUUUGCCCCUCCUCUUCCAGGGACGACUUCCUCCUCCGCAAUUUCUCACUUCUUUCUUUGGCGCCCAUUUCCUGUGCUCCCUUGGCUUCUCUCCUUUCCUGCCUGAACCAGGCUUGCCCCGCCGCUGCCCUGCGCCCCAACUCUCCCUGCCUCUGCUCCUAUUUCCGUCCCCUUCCGCCCGCAGUUGCCUUCCUUCUUGCCAAACUCGGCUUUCCUGGCUGCGCACACCCUGACCCGACCACCCCGCCUGCAAGCGCCCCCUUUCCUGCCCUGACCAGGCGGCUCCCCCUCUGUGCGGCCCGGGAGAACUGCGAAGUGGGUUCCCAGAUUCGUGAUUGAUCCUUUCGCUUCGCAGCAGUUAAGAGCUCCAACCCAGGAAGCUGCUUGAAGUCAUGCUGCCAACAUACACACAUCCACACACACAAAGGCAUAAAUGAGUAGAGAAGACAUGAGCUACAAGAAACAGCUGUACCUGUGAAGAAAGACACAGGAAAUACCUAGGAAGAUGGUGAGGAGAGACCCCAAGAUCGUCUCUGAAGUGGAUACUGAGGACAAACAGACUAAACUGGACAGGGCAGGAGGUUGUAGGAGAGACUCCCCCACCCCACCCCCAGGAAAAUAAAAUUGACAGAAAAGCUCAUAGAAAUGAACUUCCUCAAAGAAGGCAACUGGCAGAGAAUUUGAGGUUGAAUUAUUAAGAAUUACGUGGAAAAUAGAGGGUAGAAACAUAAAGGAUGAUGUGGAGAUGAUGUGGAGACUUGCAGUAGUGCUCACUCAUACCUGAAUGGUUCUUUUCUUCUGGAUAAAUGGGAGGAAUAUAUUCCUGUUCUCUCUCUCUCUCUCUCUCUCUCUCUCUCUCUCUCUCUCUCUCUCUCUCUCUGAUACCAGGUAUCAAACUCAGGCCCUUGCGCUUGCCAGGCAGACGCAACACCACUGAGCUACAUCCCCAGCCCUGUUUCUGUUCUCUCGAACUCAGACACAAUCAUGUGACUAGUUCUGUCCAGUGAAUUUGAGAAGUUAAAUGUGGUAGUUUUAAAACACAACCAAAUUCUUUAACAUUCUUCCUGUGGUUUGUUACUAUAGUAUAGCCUCUUCUGUCUUGACUAAUAUGCAAAAUAAUUAGCUCUAAGGAAAAUGAAAAGUUGUGCAGGAACAAAAAUGAAGUCACAGUUCACUCUAGGGCUCAACAAUGAAAAGAAUUUGCAGUCAGAGUAACAUAAAUGCUAAGAAAUGAACUCACAAAAAUUAUAGUAUAAUGAUAUUGGCAACUUGAAGGAGUAGGAAACAGGAAUGCAAAGUAAAUACACAGGUUACUUUGUUAAAAACUCAACUCAGAGAGAGAAACUCCAUCUUUUCAACUCCUUGAAAAUAAAAGCUGAAUAACUGUUCAGAGUUAGAGUGAGAGAAAAAACCAUAAACAUCAAUCAUACAUUCCAGGAUGUGGAGAGAUCAGUGAAAUCAUAUGAAACAGAGGAGUCUAGAGAAAGCCAUAUGAAAGCAGACAGAACUCACAGAAAUGAUGGGAGAAUUAUAACCCAAGAAAAUGUAUUCUUUAAUUAUGUCAGAUUAUAUAAUCCUUAGGUUAUGUGGAAAAUAAAGUAAUCUUAAGAAGCUGGAA